rnacentral:rRNA from 1 species
UACAGAGGGUGCGAGCGUUGUCCGGAAUUACUGGGCGUAAAGGGCGCGUAGGCGGCUUGAUAAGUAGGAGGUGAAAUUUCGAGGCUCAACCUCGAAACUGCCUUCUAGACUGUCUGGCUUGAGCACGGUAGAGGCAGAUGGAAUUCCCGGUGUAGCGGUGGAAUGCGUAGAGAUCGGGAAGAACACCAGUGGCGAAGGCGGUCUGCUGGGGCCGUUGCUGACGCUGAGGCGCGACAGCGUGGGGAGCAAACAGG